UGGGGCUGUGGCGUAGUGGUAGACCAUCUGCUUUGCACGCAGAGGAUCCCAGGUUCAAUCCCUGGUACCUCAA
rnacentral:tRNA from 1 species